rnacentral:tRNA from 1 species
GCCCGCCUAGCUCAAUCGGAUAGAGCGUCAGACUUUUAAGGCGGGAGAUCUGAAGGCUGCGAGUUCGACCCUCGCGGUGGGCU